UUACUGCAGCUCAUUAAUUAAAGCUCUCUCUCUGGCAGUACAUGCUGAACAUUAGGAAAGAGCUAGAGGUUAAACUCCUGCUCCGUUUCAGUGGGCUGGAUAAUAUGUGAUACCGGUACCGUGACGUCUCUGUGUGUCAUUAGUAACAUGUUAGUGGAGCCUCUGCACGGCCCUGUGACCUGCUGGAUAUGAACCAGUCUCUAUGCAGCGUUAGCUCACCUGGUCAUUGGUGUGUUAACGGGGAUUUGGCUGACAAGCUUUCUGAAAGAUGGCGAUUCCACAGAGGACAGAGGCUGCAGAUCUCCAACACUCUGCCACGAGUCUCCAACUUCUCAGGGUUCAAGAGACAUGCAGCCCGACAGAAAGUGACCUUCUGAUGCUUCGGCCUGCGCGCACUCCUGUCUUUCUCUUUUCUUUUCUCCGAGCCUGCAGCUCUGCAUUGUGAGUCUGUUCCUGCAGCUCUGCACCGUGAGCCUGCAGCUCUGCAUUGUGAGUCUGUUCCUGCAGCUCUGCACCCGUGAGCCUGCAGCUCUGCAUUGUGAGUCUGUUCCUGCAGCUCUGCACCGUGAGCCUGCAGCUCUGCAUCGUGAAUCUGUUCCUGCAGCUCAGCAUUGUGAAUUUGUUCCUGCAGCUCUGCAUUGAGACCCUGCAGCUCUGCAUCGUGAGUCUGCAGCUCUGCAUUGUGAAUCUGUUCCUGCAGCCCUCUGAACCAAUAGGAAACAGGCUUACUGAGUUACUAUUCUACCUGCACAAUUGUUCCUCUGGUGUCGGAAUGUCUCACGAUGUUUGUGAAUUCUUAGAAACUAAACACCACAUCAUUUCGGGUUAAAAUGUGUUGUAACUGCGUUACUGAGAAAUGUAACGGGUAUUAUAUUACCCACAUUUCAGAAGUAAUGCGUUAUAUUACUGCCAUCCAUCUUCUCCCGCUUUUCCGUCAGGGUCGCGGAGGUAACAGCUCCAGCAGAGAGCCCCAAACUUUCCUUUCCCUGGCCACAUCAACCAGCUCUGACUGGGGGAUUCCAAGGCGCUCCCAGGCCAGCGAAGAGAUAUAACCCCUCCACCUGGUCCUAGGUCUACCCCUCGGCCUCUUCCCAGCUGGACGUGCCUGGAACACCUCCCAAGGGAGGCGCCCAGGUGGCAUCCUCACUAGGUGCCUGAACCACCUCAACUGGCUCCUUUCAACACGAAGGAGCAGCGGUUCUACUCCGAGUCCCUCCCGGAUGACUGAACUUCUCACCGUAUAUUACUGCGUUACAGCAAAAAGUAAUACAUUACUGUAACUCCGGUACUUUUGUAACGCGCUACACCCAACUCUGGGGACAGUGUACUGACUGUAACUUAACAAGUGAGCUCUGGACAUGACUAAACGUGGACUAUCAACUAAAGAAAUGCAUCAUCAAACAUGGCGUGAUGUUACGUUGCUUGCAAACAUGAUCAGUGAUCUAAAGCCUUGAACAGGAUAGGCAGGUUAACAGAACAAGGGAGGCCAAGAAUGUUGCUGAUAAACUCCGUGGGCUAAAAAACAAACUCACUUUUUAUUUUCACCUCGACUCUCCCCUGAUCUUCCCGACUGGCCGCUUGUCGACAAGCGUAACAUGGCUGCACUAGAUCCGUUCCUGGGCGUAGUGGAUUUCUCCUUGAACCUUUGUUCAACAAUCUGCAGGAGGGCUGCGAAUGUCAGUGCCCACAAGGAGCGCUGCCAACAAAUCGCCCAGAGAGUGAAGGCACUGGAGGGACUCAUUCUCAUCAUCAAACACGGAGGAGUGGGACAACUAUCCCCUGCUGUGCACAACGCUCUGAGGGAAAUCUGCUCCAACCUCACAUCUGCCAAGACGCUGAUGGAGAAAAUCGGCCGAACUAAAGCUGUAAUGAGAUUCCUGAAGUCCAGCAGCCAAGAGGGCCAGUUCUUGUAUUUGGACAAAAGGCUCUCUGAUAACUUCAAGGUUCUGUCGGGACUCAUUGAGCAUGGGGACACGCUGAGUAGAGCCCGAUUUCCUGUUUCUGGAAAUACUGGACCCACAACCCCUAUUCCUCAGCCCAGCAACACGCCUCAGCCGAGUCCACCAUCCCCAAUUCCUUACAGCCCCAUGCCCCCUAUGGCAGCAUGUAACCCUGAACCCCAUAUGCAUUACAGCCGCAUGCCCCCCAUGGCAAUGUGUAGCCCCACACCCUCUGUUAUUUACACUAUGCUCCCCAUAUACUCCGUCCCUUUUUCCACCACCAUUUCCUCCAAUCCUGCCACCAGCACCAUGGACCCAAUGAUUGUCUUAGCAGCCAAUACAUCAGUUGUAACAAGCUUGUCUUCAAAGCUGUUUUUUCCCUAAAGCAAGAGAAACAUUUAGUGUCAGACGUGAGGACACAGAGGAAUGGGCCGCAGAAAAACCUGUCUACAACACCAUGGCCCCCAUGACUAAACGUUAGCCCCAUGUCCUUUUUACCCACCACCAUUGUCUCCAAUCCAGCCCUGAGCGCAAUGGACCCAAUCAUUAAAAACAAAAACCAAUAUUCUGUAAAAUAAACAAAUAAGAGUGAUGCAGGGAUGAUGGAAGUUAGCAUCCCAAAGUCGUCUCUUGCAGUCGCAUCCGUCGUUUUAUUAUACGAUUGGCACAGAUGUAAACAUCAAUUAGCCCGGACUUCUGACUCAAAGCACCAACUUCUGGAACGAAGACAAAACACCCGGAACUUCCUUAAAUUGCCUCCUGGUUCAAAAGCAAGUCAUUCUCUGUAGACCCCCAUGUUGAAAUGAUCAACUCGACAGCAGAAAUAAACCUGUUCACAGUCUCGUACAAAAACAAGGUUUGGUUUCCAUAGUUUAAUUUGUUCUACUGAAACACAAAGUCACUUCCUUUCUAGAAAAACUGAAUUUAACACAUUAUUUGAAUUCUUCCUGAUUUUAAUGAGUUGUAACAAUAUUAGUUUUAGACUCUUCUAUCCUGUUUUAGAGAUUCCUCUGUGCAGCAAAUCUGUAUUUUGAUGAGGACACAGAUCAGAGGGCUUCAUAUUUCUUGAGUCUCAUUGCACCAUCUAAAAACACAGCUGGUAUUAUUGAGUACUUUCACAGCAUGUUUUGGUGCCAUACAGUUAUAUGAUCGAUGAGGUGACUCAUUUGAAUAUGGAUCAUUAGCUGAAACAUGACAUGGAGGUUUCUGAUUCUGUCUACCAAUUAAGAUGAAUCGUACUACAACUAAAAUAAAACUUGAAACCAGUCUGAUUUGAUUCGUUGGAAACAAGUUGUCUCAUACCGCAGAUUGUACAUUGCUAGGCCAUCAUUAAACCCUAAUGUGCACAAGCCCAAA